GCCGGAAGUGUUCCUGUAGCCAUCUUGAGCAGAUCGUGAUCUGAAAGCAGCCUCCCUGUGAGCGUCACGGGUUCCAAUUAGGAAGUGCCGUAAUGCCAAAGUCUCAUCUAAUUUACCUGAUCAAUUCAUGCUCUAAUAAUCAAUGUGAAGAAAGAGUAAAAAAAGAGAAAACAAAUGUGAAUCUAAGCCAUCCUGGGCUACAUGCCACCUGCGGUCACUGGUUGGACACCCCUGAAGAGGAUGGCUGAGUGGAAGAUGGAAAGAAUUUGAGCCAGAUGAUGACAUUCUUGAUCCACAGAAUCAACCAGCCCUGAAAAUUUGCCCUAUUUCUGAAC